rnacentral:rRNA from 1 species
AUACGUAGGUGACAAGCGUUAUCCGGAUUUACUGGGCGUAAAGGGCGUGUAGGCGGUCUUGCAAGUCAGAAGUGAAAUUCCUGAGCUCAACUCGGGCGCUGCUUCUGAAACUGCAGGACUUGAGUGCUGGAGGGGAUAGCGGAAUUCCUAGUGGAGCGGUAAAAUGCGCAGAUAUUAGGAAGAACACCGGUGGCGAAGGCGGCUAUCUGGACAGUAACUGACGCUGAGGCGCGAAAGCGUGGGGAGCAAACAGGAUUAGAUACCCUGGUAGUCCGUGCCGUAAACGAUGAAUACUAGGUGUAGGGGGUAUCGACUCCCUCUGUGCCGCAGUUAACACAUUAAGUAUUCCACCUGGGGAGUACGGCCGCAAGGUUGAAACUCAAAUGAAUUGACGGGG